GGUGGUGUGGUGUAAUGGUAGCACGUGACGUUGUGGUUCCCAUCACGAAAGGUCCGUUUCAAUCUGGGUUCGAUUCCCAGCACCGCCA
rnacentral:tRNA from 3 species